rnacentral:rRNA from 1 species
GACAGAGGGUGCAAACGUUGUUCGGAAUUACUGGGCGUAAAGCGCGUGCAGGCUGUUUUGCAAGUCGGAUGUGAAAGCCCUGGGCUCAACCUAGGAAGUGCACUCGAAACUGCAGAACUCGAGUCCUGGAGAGGAAGGCGGAAUUCUCGGUGUAGAGGUGAAAUUCGUAGAUAUCGAGAGGAACACCGGUGGCGAAGGCGGCCUUCUGGACAGUGACUGACGCUGAGACGCGAAAGCGUGGGGAGCAAACAGG